rnacentral:rRNA from 1 species
UACAUGUGGGGCAAGCGUUGUUCGGAAUUACUGGGCAUAAAGGGUGCGUAGGCGGUUUGUUAAGUCUGUGGUGAAAGCUUUCGGCCCAACCGGAAAAUUGCCGCGGAUACUGGCGAACUUGAGUGCGUGAGGGAUGGGGGGAACGAGCAGUGUAGCGGUGAAAUUCGUAGAUAUUAGGAAGAACACCGGUGGCGAAGGCGGCCCACUGGUCCGGUACUGACGCUGAGGUGCGAAAGCGUGGGGAGCAAACAGG